rnacentral:rRNA from 1 species
UACAGAGGGUGCGAGCGUUGUCCGGAAUCACUGGGCGUAAAGGACGCGUAGGCGGCGCGGUAAGCGUGCGGUGAAAGCCCGGGGCUCAACCCCGGGUCGGCCGUGCGGACUGCCGGGCUGGAGCACUGUAGAGGCAGGUGGAAUUCCGGGUGUAGCGGUGGAAUGCGUAGAGAUUAGGAAGAACACCAGUGGCGAAGGCGACUUACUGGACUGUAACUGACGCUGAGGCAUGAAAGCGUGGGGAGCAAACAGG